rnacentral:rRNA from 1 species
GACGAACCGUGCGAACGUUUAUUCGGAAUCACUGGGCUUAAAGGGUGCGUAGGCGGGCUCGUUAGUCAGGGGUGAAAUCCCACGGCCCAACCGUGGAAGUGCCUCUGAUACUGCGGGCCUCGAGGGGGAUAGGGGCGUGCGGAACUCAGGGUGGAGCGGUGAAAUGCGUAGAUAUCCUGAGGAACACCGGUGGCGAAAGCGGCGCGCUGGAUCCCUUCUGACGCUGAGGCACGAAAGCCAGGGGAGCAAACGGGG